rnacentral:rRNA from 1 species
UGGUUAAAAAGCUCGUAGUUGGAUCUCAACAGCCUUGAAGCGGUUAACUUUGUAGUUUUACUGCUUUAUAGGCUGUGCUUUUGCUGGAGGUUUAGGGGUGCUCUUGAUCGAGUGUCUCUGGAUGCCAGCAGGUUUACUUUGAAAAAAUUAGAGUGCUCAAAGCAGGCUAAAAUGCCUGAAUAUUCGUGCAUGGAAUAAUAGAAUAGGAUGUCGAUCCUAUUUUGUUGGUUUUCGGGACUCGACAUAAUGAUAAAUAGGGACAGUCGGGGGCAUUUGUAUUCAAACGACAGAGGUGAAAUUCUAGGACCGUUUGAAGACAAACUACUGCGAAAGCAUUUGCCAAGAAUGUUUUCAUUAAUCAAGAACGAAAGUUAGAGGUUCGAAGGCGAUUAGAUACCGCCCUAGUUCUAACCAUAAACGAUGCCAGCUAGCGAUCUGCCUGCGUUUUUACUGUAGACUGGGCAGGAAGCUUCCGGGGAACCAAAGCAUUUGGGUUCCAGGGGAAGUAUGGUUGCAAAGCUGAAACUUAAAGGAAUUGACGGAAGGGCACCACCAGGAGUGGAGCCUGUGGCUUAAUUUGACUCAACACGGGAAAUCUCACCAGGCCCGGACACUGGAAGGAUUGACAGAUUGAUAGCUCUUUCUUGAUUCGGUGGGUGGUGGUGCAUGG